AACGAACGCUGGCGGCAUGCCUAACACAUGCAAGUCGAACGAUUGCCUUCGGGUGAUAGUGGCGCACGGGUGCGUAACGCGUGGGAAUCUGCCCUUAGGUUCGGAAUAACAGCUGGAAACGGCUGCUAAUACCGGAUGAUAUCGCGAGAUCAAAGAUUUAUCGCCUGAGGAUGCGCCCGCGUUGGAUUAGGUAGUUGGUGGGGUAAAGGCCUACCAAGCCGACGAUCCAUAGCUGGUCUGAGAGGAUGAUCAGCCACACUGGGACUGAGACACGGCCCAGACUCCUACGGGAGGCAGGAGUGGGGAAUAGUGGAAAAUGGGCGCAAGCCUGAUCGAGCAAUGACGCGUGAGUGAUGAAGGCACUAGAGUUGUAAAGCUCUUUUAACCGGGAAGAUAAUGACUGUACCGGGAGAAUAAGCCCCGGCUAACUCCGUG
rnacentral:rRNA from 1 species